rnacentral:rRNA from 1 species
GACGAACGCUGGCGGCGUGCUUAACACAUGCAAGUCGAACGGAAAGGCCCUGCUUUUGUGCGGUGCUCGAGUGGCGAACGGGUGAGUAACACGUGAGUAACCUGCCCUUGACUUUGGGAUAACUUCAGGAAACUGGGGCUAAUACCGGAUAGGAGCUCCUGCUGCAUGGUGGGGGUUGGAAAGUUUCGGCGGUUGGGGAUGGACUCGCGGCUUAUCAGCUUGUUGGUGGGGGAGUGGCUUACCAAGGCUUUGACGGGUAGCCGGCCUGAGAGGGUGACCGGCGACAUGGGGACUGAGGGACGGCCCAGACGCGUACGGGAGGCAGCGGUGGGGAAUAUUGCACAAUGGGCGGGAGCCUGAUGCGGCGACGCCGCGUGCGGGAUGACGGCCUUCGGGUUGUAAACCGCUUUCGCCUGUGACGAAGCGUGAGUGACGGUAAUGGGUAAAGAAGCACCGGCUAACUACGUG